GUCGAGCGGACAGAAGGGAGCUUGCUCCCGGAAGUCAGCGGCGGACGGGUGAGUAACACGUAGGUAACCUGCCCCUUAGACUGGGAUAACUCCGGGAAACCGGAGCUAAUACGGGAUAAUAAAGAGAAUCACCUGAUUCUCUUUUGAAAGACGGUUUCGGCUGUCACUAAGGGAUGGGCCUGCGGCGCAUUAGCUAGUUGGUAAGGUAACGGCUUACCAAGGCGACGAUGCGUAGCCGACCUGAGAGGGUGAUCGGCCACACUGGGACUGAGACACGGCCCAGACUCCUACGGGAGGCAGCAGUAGGGAAUCUUCCGCAAUGGACGAAAGUCUGACGGAGCAACGCCGCGUGAGUGAGGAAGGCCUUCGGGUCGUAAAGCUCUGUUGUGAGGGAAGAACAAGUACCGGCGUAACUACCGGUACCUUGACGGUACCUCACCAGAAAGCCACGGCUAACUACGUGCCAGCAGCCGCGGUAAUACGUAGGUGGCAAGCGUUGUCCGGAAUUAUUGGGCGUAAAGCGCGCGCAGGCGGCUUCUUAAGUCUGAUGUGAAAUCUCGGGGCUCAACCCCGAGCGGCCAUUGGAAACUGGGAAGCUUGAGUGCAGAAGAGGAGAGUGGAAUUCCACGUGUAGCGGUGAAAUGCGUAGAUAUGUGGAGGAACACCAGUGGCGAAGGCGACUCUCUGGUCUGUAACUGACGCUGAGGCGCGAAAGCGUGGGGAGCAAACAGGAUUAGAUACCCUGGUAGUCCACGCCGUAAACGAUGAGUGCUAGGUGUUAGGGGUUUCGAUGCCCGUAGUGCCGAAGUAAACACAU
rnacentral:rRNA from 2 species